AUCUUUUUAGUAUAACUGUACGUUUGGCUUCCAACCAAAAAGUUUAAUUCUAUUUAAAAAAGAUA
rnacentral:tRNA from 1 species